CCUACGGGCGACAGCAGUGAGGAAUAUUGGUCAAUGGGCGAGAGCCUGAACCAGCCAAGUCGCGUGAAGGAUGACGGCCCUACGGGUUGUAAACUUCUUUUGUCAGGGAGCAAGUGGGUCCACGCGUGGGCUUAGCGAGAGGACCUGAAGAAAAAGCAACGGCUAACUCCGUGCCAGCAGCCGCGGUAAUACGGAGGAUGCGAGCGUUAUCCGGAUGUAUGGGGUUUAAAGGGUGCGUAGGCUGAAUAUCAAGUCAGCGGUAAAAAUUCGGGGCUCAUCCCCGUCGUGCCGUUGAAACGGAUGUUCUUGAUUGUGCGAGACGUAUGCGGAAUGCGUGGUGUAGCUGUUAAAUGCAUAGAUAUCACGCAGAACUCCGAUUGCGAAGGCAGCAUACCGGCGCCCAACUGACGCU
rnacentral:rRNA from 1 species